CUAUAUGCAAUUAGUUACAAUUUUAUAUUGAGGAAGAUAAUUGUUCUUUAGUUUAUAAUUUGACUAACUGGCAGAGUGGGAAUAAAAUAAAAAAGCAAAUUGUUUUCUACUGCAAUGUAUGGCCAAACCUAACUUUCAAUACCGCAUUCUAGUUAUUUCCAAAAGCAUAAUUUACGGUGUGUAGAUUUAAACUUCUUUCUAUUUCCCUUGAAUUCUUUAAGAAGUGAAAAAGCAAAUGAGUCACAUAUCUAUAGGGCAUUUCAGCUCAGUAUUUUACAUCUUAAAAGGAUAACUAAUUGAACUAUAUUUUCAUAUCUUUGUAGUAUAAUAUACUGUAUCAACCUUUUUAUUAAUGUACUUAAUUUGUGUUUUGGGAGAUAUUUUAAUUUUUAUAUUUUUAUUUUUUUUAAAUAUCACUUUGCUACUUUUACACUUGCCCUGACAGCCAUUUUAUGCACUUUGGGUCAAACUGUCUCUUAUGACGGCUAAUGCUCAUUCUCCAAAAGUCCUAUUAAGAGAUGGUACAUAGAGAUUAAAGGAUAACUGUCAUUUGAAAAUGUUGAAUAUCUUAAUAUAAUCUUUCCCAAGGGGCAUUUUAUGACUGGUUAUGCAGAAUAAAGUAAUGCGUAGUUUAAAAUGAAACUUGUUAUUUAGAUGGAGUAUGGGUAAAACUGAAACCGUGAAAGACUGUCUUAAAAAAAAAAAAAAAAAAAAAAAAUUUUUAAUCUUUUGGUGCUUAUUGCUUACACUGGAAUGCUGCUGAGAAUGGGUAUAUACAGAAGAAAAGAUCUCUAAUAUAUUUUGAAAGCUAAUAUUUAUAGAUUUUCAAAACAAGCAGGUUUCUCAUUACAAAGUAGAAACCAAAUUGCAAAAUGUAUAACAAUACAUUCUGUAUGGGGGGCAGGGGAGAUGGAGGUGUUUAUAAGAAAUGAGGAGAAUGACGACAAAGAAUGUCUGUAAAUGUUGAU